UUCUUAUCAAGAGAGGUGGAGGGACUGGCCCUAUGAUACCCGGCAACCUGAAUUUAUAUUAUUCAAUGGUGCCAAUUCCAGCAGGUUAACCUGAGAGAUGAGAA
rnacentral:ncRNA from 1 species